rnacentral:rRNA from 1 species
UACAGAGGGUGCAAGCGUUGCUCGGAAUCAUUGGGCGUAAAGGGCAGGUAGGUGGUCUGAUUUGUCUGGAGGUGAAAGCCUUGGGCUUAACCCCAAGAAGUGCCCCGGAAACGGUCAGACUUUGAGUCUUGGAGAGGGUUGCGGGAAUUCCCGGUGUAGCGGUGAAAUGCGUAGAGAUCGGGAGGAACACCAGAGGCGAAGGCGGCAACCUGGACAAGCACUGACA